GACCCAAGCCCAACCAGCACCUAUCUACUACCUCCCCUGAUCCCCUCACUCUCUCCACUCCCAGACUCCCAGUCCACUCACGAUGGCAGAUCUCGGCGAGUCACCCACCCCACCGCCUCCGCUCUCGCCCCCACAGCCGGCGACCUCGUCUCGCACCGCCACCCCAUCUCAUCCCCUCCCCAACUCCCCUCCACUCAUCCGACGGCGGCUAGAGACGCACACAACCGGCGACCAACAUCACACAAAGGUCGCCACCGCCGGCGGUGGAAGGACAGUCUUCUCCCGCCGCUAGCCGCAGCCUCCGCCUCGCCCUGAUCCUCGGCCUCCUCGACCGCCGCUCGCUCUCCUAGGAAGCACCUCGCCGCCUCCCUGCCCAUGCCGUCUUCGCCGACUGCCCUGCUCGCGCCGACCUCGCGAAUCUCGCGGCCGUGCUUGGCAGUGCUCGACUUGUCCUCGCCGCCGCCAGCGGCGACGGGUCCUUCCCGUGCCUCUACCGCCUCGUGGCCGAGUCCUCCUCUCCCCAAAUCGACACCCGCCCCUUUGUCGAGCCUGCCGUGCCAGCGACAUGAGAAGGAUGGUGGCCAUCGAGGCUUCGGAUGCGGUCGACGCAGAUGAGAACAGUUCAUAGAGCCGUACCAGGCAGAACAAGUUGUUCCACGCAUGGGGUCUGAUUUAAAUAUUUUCGGAGAUGCAUAAUAUGCCAAACACUUCUAAAGGUGCCUCGUCCAUGGGCGCAUGAUAGUGGAAAAACAUCUGUAAAUUGUGCAGGAUCCUAUAGAGCAAAUGGGCAUCAUCGACGUGCAGUACACGCUCUCUUAGGCAGAUAAGUAACCUCAGACAACUUAUUUUGUGAAGACCGGUGGUUCAUCGUCUGAAAGUUUUGUUUUUCUCUCUAAAUUUUGUACUUAGAUAAUCCCUUAAAUGCUUUUUACUGCUUGAUCACAUAAUACAUGUCCGUGCAAGAAAGGAGUUGUUAACUGAAACAAUAAUGUUAAUUUUUGUUGUUAGCUGAAACAAUAAUGUUAAUUUUUGUUAACUACAAACUGUCUUGGACAUUGGUUUUUUCAAAUUAACUCCGUGUUGAACUGGUUCUUCUUGUUGUGUGCUGCAGCCCAGCAAUCUGUUCAUGCCAAAUGAUUGAGUCCUGGUGAGGUUCAUUGCUGGACAUGCAUGGUCUCCGCAGGCAAGGAACACAUAAAAGUAAUUCAGUGUGUUAUCAGAAACUCAUGAGCAUGAAAGAGAAAUUUGGAUCAUGUUCGAACAUGGGUAGAGAGCAGAUCGAGGAGAACUUGAAGAUUAAAGGCAAUGAAAGGCCUGGGAGAUGAUCAGAUGGAUAUAAUGGAUGCAACAUGAACGCAAGAGAUAUGGCGAACUUGAAGGCAUGAAUAAGAAGGUACUUUAAUUCAAAGCAUCAACAGUCAAUCAUUGAGUUCCUCGACUUUAUUCUAUCUUGAACUUUAAGCAGAUCUUGAACUUUAAUCUAAACAUAGAACACAUUCAGCAAAAGGCACAUGUAGAGUGCCCGUUAGUGGUUACUACAGUUGGGUAUUUAUUGGUCUAAAUUGUACAGUGCGUUUUAUACAUGUCAAGCUGAAACCUGCACAAUGAUCCUCUUAUUCUACCCCGCUGAACUACCGAUAAAUAUUGAUUAUACUGAACUCUGUUCUUUCUUUGUUGAAUAAGAACUCAUCUUUUCUCCUUUUUCCUUGGUGUUAGACCAACUGCUGUAGCAGUGGCUACUGUUUCUACUCCAAGAGUGGAAUCCUGAGUUCUGAUGUUACGGAAUAUUCCUUUGGCAGGCUUAGGCUCGGUUAGAUUGCUUGUGAUGCCUGUCUUUCCUCUUUUACCUUGAUAUAUGUUUCAGACACAUGAGAACCUGGAACACAUAGCAAUGAUGGAGAGGGUUUUGGGACCCGUACCAGAGCACAUGAUACGGAACGCUAGAUAUGUCUGUGUGCAUGUGCUGGCAGUGUGUAUGUGAUGGCUGUGUAUAUGAAAUCAUGUAAAUUUCACAUCUGCUAUGUAGGUUCAUACCAUUGUAUUUGUGUAUGGAUGUAAAUUCCAGAUAUGUCUGUGUGUAUGUGCUGGCAGUGUGUAUGUGAUGGCUGUGUAUAUGAAAUCAUGUAAAUUUCACAUCUGCUAUGUAGGUUCAUACCAUUGUAUUUGUGUAUGGAUGUAAAUUCCAGAUAUGUCUGUGUGUAUGUGCUGGCAGUGUGUAUGUGAUGGCUGUGUAUAUGAAAUCAUGUAAAUUUCACAUCUGCUAUGUAGGUUCAUACCAUUGUAUUUGUGUAUGGAUGUAAAUUCCAGAUAUGUCUGUGUGUAUGUGCUGGCAGUGUGUAUGUGAUGACUGUGUAUAUGAAAUCAUGUAAAUUUCAGAUCUGCUAUGUAGGUUCAUACCAUUGUCUUUGUGUAUGGAUGUAAGUUCCAGAUCUGGAUGUAAA